rnacentral:rRNA from 1 species
AAACCGGAGCUAAUACCGGAUAAUAUAUUGAACCGCAUGGUUCAAUAGUGAAAGACGGUUUUGCUGUCACUUAUAGAUGGAUCCGCGCCGCAUUAGCUAGUGGUAAGGUAACGGCUUACCAAGGCAACGAUGCGUAGCCGACCUGAGAGGGUGAUCGGCCACACUGGAACUGAGACACGGUCCAG